rnacentral:sRNA from 1 species
GUCGCAGCAAAAUCUGCGACCGGGCGUGAGAACCCGAGUGACUCUAGGCGCAGUAGCGCCCCAAUCAUUGCUGGCGCUUUUUUU